rnacentral:rRNA from 1 species
UGAGGAACAUGACCUCCGGCGGGGGAUAGCCGGCCCAACGGCCGGGUAAUACCGCGUACGACCACAUGGGGACAUCCCUGAGUGGUGAAAGCAGCAAUGCGCCGAUGGAGUGCCUCGCGGCCUAUCAGCUAGUUGGUGAGGUAACGGCUCACCAAGGCAACGACGGGUANCUGGUCUGAGAGGAUGGCCAGCCACAUUGGGACUGAGACACCGGCCCAGACCUCGUAACGGGGAGG